GCCUGGGUGGCUUAGUGGGUUAAGCAUCUGACUUCGGCUCAGGUCAUGAUCUUGUGGUUCGUGAGUUCGAGCCCCACAUCAGGCU
rnacentral:tRNA from 1 species